UUGAACGCUGGCGGCAGGCCUAACACCUGCAAGUCGAGCGGAUGAAGGGAGCUUGCUCCUGGAUUCAGCGGCGGACGGGUGAGUAAUGCCUAGGAAUCUGCCUGGUAGUGGGGGAUAACGUCCGGAAACGGGCGCUAAUACCGCAUACGUACUGAGGGAGAAAGUGGGGGAUCUUCGGACCUCACGCUAUCAGAUGAGCCUAGGUCGGAUUAGCUAGUUGGUGGGGUAAAGGCCUACCAAGGCGACGAUCCGUAACUGGUCUGAGAGGAUGAUCAGUCACACUGGAACUGAGACACGGUCCAGACUCCUACGGGAGGCAGCAGUGGGGAAUAUUGGACAAUGGGCGAAAGCCUGAUCCAGCCAUGCCGCGUGUGUGAAGAAGGUCUUCGGAUUGUAAAGCACUUUAAGUUGGGAGGAAGGGCAGUAAGUUAAUACCUUGCUGUUUUGACGUUACCAACAGAAUAAGCACCGGCUAACUUCGUG
rnacentral:rRNA from 1 species